CGAGGUGUUGCGCAGUUGGUAGCGCGCGUGGUUUGGGACCACGAGGCCGCUGGUUCGAGUCCUGUCACCUCGACCA
rnacentral:tRNA from 1 species